rnacentral:tRNA from 1 species
GGGCAGGUGGCCGAGCGGCCAAUGGCAUCAGACUGUAAAUCUGACGGGGCAACCCUACACAGGUUCAAAUCCUGUCCUGCCCA